CCUACGGGGGGCAGCAGUGGGGGAUAUUGGACAAUGGGGGGAACCCUGAUCCAGCGACGCCGCGUGAGUGAAGAAGUAUUUCGGUAUGUAAAGCUCUGUCAGCAGGGAAGAAAGAAAUGACGGUACCUGACCAAGAAGCCCCGGCUAACUACGUGCCAGCAGCCGCGGUAAUACGUAGGGGGCAAGCGUUAUCCGGAAUUACUGGGUGUAAAGGGAGCGUAGGCGGCCUGGCAAGCCUGAUGUGAAAUACCGGGGCCCAACCCCGGGGCUGCAUUGGGAACUGCCAGGCUGGAGUGCCGGAGAGGCAGGCGGAAUUCCUAGUGUAGCGGUGAAAUGCGUAGAUAUUAGGAGGAACACCAGUGGCGAAGGCGGCCUGCUGGACGGUGACUGACGCUGAGGCUCGAAAGCGUGGGGAGCAAACAGGAUUAGAUACCCGUGUAGUC
rnacentral:rRNA from 1 species